UCCGAGUUGACCCCGGCAGUCUCCCAUGAGUCCCCGCCAUUACGCGCUGGCAACAUGGAACGAGGGUUGCGCUCGUUGCGGGACUUAACCCAACAUCUCACGACACGAGCUGACGACAACCAUGCACCACCUGUGAACCGGCCCCAAAGGGGAAACCACAUUUCUGCGGCGAUCCGGCCCAUGUCAAGCCUUGGUAAGGUUCUUCGCGUUGCAUCGAAUUAAUCCGCAUGCUCCGCCGCUUGUGCGGGCCCCCGUCAAUUCCUUUGAGUUUUAGCCUUGCGGCCGUACUCCCCAGGCGGGGCACUUAAUGCGUUAGCUACGGCGCGGAAAACCUUACCAAGGCUUGACAUAUA
rnacentral:misc_RNA from 1 species